UCUGGUCGUUGGAAUGUUGCUGGAGGCACAUCCCUCCUCAGGGGAAGAGUAUACCCUCUGCACCUUUGAUACGAACAGCUAUGGAAAGUGUUUGGCUAUGGUAAGGCCUCCAAGGAUGCAAAUCGGGCAACACCAUUACAAUGUGUUUCAAGGGCGAAGGUGCCUGGAGACGGUGAAAAAUGAGGAUAAUCAUUAUGUGGUUCUCGAUCAUCAUGACUAUAUGGCAGCGCGUGAAGCGGGUCUACGUCCGGUUAUAUUUGCACGCGAAGAGCGUAAAAAUUUCAUUAUAGCCGUAAAGCCGUAACCGCAAGGAAUAUCAGCCUGGUAGAGUACAAUGAGGCAAGACUCAAUUUGGAUACAAAGGAGAGAGAGUCUUCCAUUCCGCACUGGUAUUUAAUGCGCUACGCGGACGCAAUGUCUGCCCGGAAGACCCGUCCAUAGCACAGCGUACAUUCGAAUAUUGAAAUCUGCUCAUUUUAAGCCCCUGAAUAAUUCGGAGGAUAUAUGCUAUGUCCUUUCGCUACCUAUGCGGAGACAUGUGCCUUUGCUUCGUGCAACUAUGAUGCGGGUCUACAGAAUACGUUUUGUUUACAAGCAGCGGGGCUAUAAUCCACGAAAAGUUAAAGAGUUGAGAAGAUUAUUGCUUGAUCUGCUGCAAAACUUUAAUGGACACCAGUUAUUCAAUUUCUUUGAUACUUUCAAGGGCCUGAACGAUGUUAUAUUCAAG